rnacentral:tRNA from 1 species
GCGCCCGUAGCUCAACGGAUAGAGCAACGGCCUUCUAAGCCGUAGGUUGCAGGUUCGAGUCCUGCCGGGCGCGCCA